rnacentral:rRNA from 1 species
AUUGAACGCUGGCGGAAUGCUUUACACAUGCAAGUCGAACGGCAGCACGGGUGCUUGCACCUGGUGGCGAGUGGCGAACGGGUGAGUAACAUAUCGGAACGUACCCAGGAAUGGGGGAUAACUAACCGAAAGGUUAGCUAAUACCGCAUACGCCCUGAGGGGGAAAGCGGGGGAUCGAAAGACCUCGCGUUAUUGGAGAGGCAGAUAUCUGGUUAGCUAGUUGGUGAGGUAAAGGCCUACCAAGGCGACGACCAGUAGCUGGUCUGAGAGGACGACCAGCCACACUGGAACUGAGACACGGUCCAGACUCCUACGGGAGGCAGCAGUGGGGAAUUUUGGACAAUGGGGGCAACCCUGAUCCAGCCAUUCCGCGUGUGUGAAGAAGGCCUUCGGGUUGUAAAGCUCUUUCGGCAGGGAAGAAAUGGCCUUGGAUAAUACCCAGGGUCGAUGACGGUACCUGAAGAAGAAGCACCGGCUAACUACGUGCCAGCAGCCGCGGUAAGAC